rnacentral:rRNA from 1 species
AUCGAACGCUGGCGGCAGGCCUAACACAUGCAAGUCGAGCGGAGCGGCGGACGGGUGAGUAAUGCCUAGGAAGCUGCCUGGUAGUGGGGGAUAACGUCCGGAAACGGGAGCUAAUACCGCAUACUACCAGAUGAGCCUAGGUCGGAUUAGCUAGUUGGGGGGGUAAAGGCCUACCAAGGCGACGAUCCGUAACUGGACUGUGAGGAUGCUCAGUCACACUGGAACUGGGACACGGUCCGGAAUCCUACGGAAGGCAGCAGUGGGGAAUAUUGGACAAUGGGCGAAAGCCUAAUCCAGCCAUGCCGCGUGUGUGAAGAAGGUCUUCGGAUUGUAAAGCACUUUAAGUUGGGAGACGUUACCAACAGAAUAAGCACCGGCUAACUUCGUGCCAGCAGCCGCGGUAAUUC